AUUGAACGCUGGCGGCAGGCCUAACACAUGCAAGUCGAGCGAGCGGCGGACGGGUGAGUAAUGUCUGGGAAACUGCCUGAUGGAGGGGGAUAACUACUGGAAACGGUCGCUAAUCCCGCAUACCCUCAGAUGUCCCCCUAUGGGAUUAGCUAGUAGGUGGGGUAACGGCUCCCCUAGGCGACGAUCCCUAGCUGGUCUGAGAGGAUGACCAGCCACACUGGAACUGAGACACGGUCCAGACUCCUACGGGAGGCAGCAGUGGGGAAUAUUGCACAAUGGGCGCAAGCCGGAUGCAGCCAUGCCGCGUGUAUGAAGAAGGCCUUCGGGUUGUAAAGUACUUUCAGCGGGGAGGCGUUACCCGCAGAAGAAGCACCGGCUAACUCCGUGCCAGCAGCCGCGGUAAUAC
rnacentral:rRNA from 1 species